AGUGAACGCUGGCGGUAGGCCUAACACAUGCAAGUCGAACGGCAGCACAGGAGAGCUUGCUCUCUGGGUGGCGAGUGGCGGACGGGUGAGGAAUACAUCGGAAUCUACUCUGUCGUGGGGGAUAACGUAGGGAAACUUACGCUAAUACCGCAUACGACCUACGGGUGAAAGCAGGGGACCUUCGGGCCUUUCGCGAAUGAAUGAGCCGAUGUCGGAUUAGCUAGUUGGCGGGGUAAAGGCCCACCAAGGCGACGAUCCGUAGCUUGUCUGAGAGGAUGAUCAGCCACACUGGAACUGAGACACGGUCCAGACUCCUACGGGAGGCAGCAGUGGGGAAUAUUGGACAAUGGGCGCAAGCCUGAUCCAGCCAUACCGCGUGGGUGAAGAAGGCCUUCGGGUUGUAAAGCCCUUUUGUUGGGAAAGAAAUCCAGCUGGCUAAUACCCGGUUGGGAUGACGGUACCCAAAGAAUAAGCACCGGCUAACUUCGUGCCAGCCGCCGCAGUAA
rnacentral:rRNA from 1 species